rnacentral:rRNA from 1 species
AGGAUAGGCCACGGGAAACUGUGGGUAAUACUCGAUAAGCUCCCUGAACAUGACGGUUUGGGGAGCAAAGGUGAGAUUCCACCGGAGGAGCGGCUGACUUAGUAUUAGCUAGUUGGUGAGGUAAAAGCUCACCAAGGCUUCGAUGCUUAGGGGGUGUGAGAGCAUGACCCCCACCACUGGGACUGAGAAACUGCCCAGACACCUACGGGUGGCUGCAGUCGAGGAUCUUCGGCAAUGGGCGCAAGCCUGACCGAGCGACGCC